ACAAAGACAAUCCGUUGAAACCUCUUUAGAACAGUACAACAGGAGACCAUUGCGCGCGUACUCUUUUGGCCCAAGAUUUCUUAAUUGAACUAACGCUUGAGAAAACGUUUCCAAGAAUUUUUUUUGUUGUAGCUUACUAAACAAUCAAUUGAUAGAAUUACGCAACCGGCAAAAAAAAUUACUUUUCCUCCUUUUUUUCUUGAGAUUCCAGUAAAGCAUUGUUUAACUGCCGAAAGUUUACAAAAACAAUUACCUUAUGGUAUUCUAUCAAUUUUUGUCGUUCCAACUCCUCUUCUUUACUUUGUUCUAAACGAACACAAUGUUCUUGCAAUUUUUGAUUCAUUUCUAGCUCUUUGUGUUUUUUCUUGAAAAAAUAUUAUAAAUUUUGGUGUGAAAAGUUAGGUUCAAGCUCAUCUUGAUAGGUAGCGUAUAAUAAGUCAAAUUGAUGUAAAAAUGUCUGAAUUAAAUUCAUUGAGAAAUAAA